rnacentral:ribozyme from 13 species
ACAUUCCCUCUUAAAAGAAAAGAAUAAAGAGAAGAAACAAGAGGAUGACAAGAAUCAUCUGCCAAAAGACCAAAAAGAAGAAUGGCUUCUUUUAUUCCUCCUUUUUUAUUUUUUUUU